AACAUCAGACUAGCUUGAUCCGUUUGACGCCGCUGACAGCUCACACUAACAUUCCAACAUACACGUGGUUAAAUUACUAUUAACUUUGGUUGUUACAAAACCUCAUUGAUUUACAAUGGUUAAAAUUACUAGUUAAACGUCCGGGUAAACCUGUGCAAAUAAGCCUAUUUGGGUUCACUUCAUAUUCCUGGGUAAUUUUGCUAUGAUUAUUUUCACCCUAUUGCCAAGUUAAUUUGACCAGGACUUUCCUGGUUCUGAUUUGGACUUCAAUGUUAAAAUUACUUGCAAUCACUACAGUUUUAAUUAUGACAUCUCUAGGGUAUUCCCCCAGAAAAUGUUUGUAGUUUUGAAGCUCGAUCGAUGACUAUGUUUUCUAACAUUUUCUGGGGAGAAUUCGCUAGAGAAUUGCGUCAUAUUGACUUGUGUAUUCAUGAAUUAAACACACAAUUUGGCUUGUAUCAUACUUAGUGUUGUUACCUUGUGAAGGACGAGGAAAAAUCUUCGGUUUAUUUGUAUAAAAGGAACCUUUUUUAACUGUCAGUUUGUUAGAAUUUCUAUGUGGACUGUUUUAAUAAUUAAAAUACUUUCUCAUACAACAAAUUGUUAGCAAACACCGACUUUCGAAGAAAUUGCUUUUUGCCAUUUUUUCAAAGUUUAUAAAUAGUUGUUCUGAUGAUGAUCAGCGCCAAAAUAAUUUAAAGUUUUGUCAAAAUAAUUUGCCAAUUUAUAUAUUAAUCACCGACAACUGAACUCGGCAGCCACUCAAUGUAUGUAUCUAUUCUAAGGGGCGGACCAUUAGAAAAGUGAUGGGGGGGGGGCAAAAGCAAAAACAGAAAUCGAGCAGGGGAAACAGAAAAAAAAAUUCGUGCACCAGAAAUGUUUGAAAAAA